AGUUUGCACUCAGCAGCAGUUCUAACUAAACCACCAAAAUGAAAUACUUCCUGGUUUUCCUGGUCGUCUGCGUGGCCCUGGCCGCCGCUUCACCCCAGUUCUUUGCCUGGCCAGGAUAUGCUGGUUAUGCUCCCGCUAGCAGGACUGUGGUUGCUGGUCCUACUGUGGUGAAUGAAGCUCCUGCCCGCUACUUCGCUGGUUAUCCAUUCUUCUAAGCCGGCGCUCUCCCCUUCAACCCUCAACCCUAGCAACUUGCACUUUGUCACACUUUGGCCCAAACAACAUAAUAUUCGUGUCUUGUAUAUUUAGGUACAUCUAUUUACUAUAACAUGUAUAUCUACAAAAAUUAAAAGUAUUGUUUACAGAA